GACAGAGGGUGCAAACGUUGUUCGGAAUUACUGGGCGUAAAGCGCGUGUAGGCGGCUAAGUAAGUCGGGCGUGAAAUCCCACGGCUCAACCGUGGAAGUGCACUCGAAACUGCAUAGCUAGAGUCCUGGAGAGGAAUGUGGAAUGCUUGGUGUAGAGGUGAAAUUCGUAGAUAUCAAGCGGAACACCGGUGGCGAAGGCGGCCUUCUGGACAGUGACUGACGCUGAGACGCGAAAGCGUGGGGAGCAAACAGG
rnacentral:rRNA from 1 species